AGUGGGGAAUAUUGCACAAUGGGCGCAAGCCUGAUGCAGCCAUGCCGCGUGUAUGAAGAAGGCCUUCGGGUUGUAAAGUACUUUCAGCGGGGAGGAAGGUGUUGAGGUUAAUAACCUCAGCAAUUGACGUUACCCGCAGAAGAAGCACCGGCUAACUCCGUGCCAGCAGCCGCGGUAAUACGGAGGGUGCAAGCGUUAAUCGGAAUUACUGGGCGUAAAGC
rnacentral:rRNA from 1 species